rnacentral:rRNA from 1 species
GAUGAACGCUGGCGGCGUGCCUAAUACAUGCAAGUCGAGCGAACGGGCGAGAAGCUUGCUUCUCUGAUGUUAGCGGCGGACGGGUGAGUAACACGUGGAUAACCUACCUAUAAGACUGGGAUAACUUCGGGAAACCGGAGCUAAUACCGGAUAAUAUUUUGAACCGCAUGGUUCAAAAGUGAAAGACGGUCUUGCUGUCACUUAUAGAUGGAUCCGCGCUGCAUUAGCUAGUUGGUAAGGUAACGGCUUACCAAGGCAACGAUGCAUAGCCGACCUGAGAGGGUGAUCGCCCACACUGGAACUGAGACACGGUCCAGACUCCUACGGGAGGCAGCAGUAGGGAAUCUUCCGCAAUGGGCGAAAGCCUGACGGAGCAACGCCGCGUGAGUGAUGAAGGUCUUCGGAUCGUAAAACUCUGUUAUUAGGGAAGAACAUAUGUGUAAGUAACUGUGCACAUCUUGACGGUACCUAAUCAGAAAGCCACGGCUAACUACGUG